GACGAACGCUGGCGGCGUGCUUAACACAUGCAAGUCGAACGGUAAGGCCCUUCGGGGUACGCGAGUGGCGAACGGGUGAGUAACACGUGGGUGAUCUGCCCUGCACUUCGGGAUAAGCCUGGGAAACUGGGUCUAAUACCGGAUAGGACUCCGGACUGCAUGGUCUGGGGUGGAAAGCUUUUGCGGUGUGGGAUGGGCCCGCGGCCUAUCAGUUUGUUGGUGGGGUGAUGGCCUACCAAGGCGACGACGGGUAGCCGGCCUGAGAGGGUGACCGGCCACACUGGGACUGAGAUACGGCCCAGACUCCUACGGGAGGCAGCAGUGGGGAAUAUUGCACGAUGGGCGCAAGCCUGAUGCAGCGACGCCGCGUGAGGGAUGACGGCCUUCGGGUUGUAAACCUCUUUCAGCAUCGACGAAGCGAAAGUGACGGUAGGUGCAGAAGAAGGACCGGCCAACUACGUGCCAGCAGCCGCGGUAA
rnacentral:rRNA from 1 species